ACAUGAACAUUUAGGAAAGGUGCAGACGAACAGAUUUUAGCAGGAAAAGACUUAGUGCAGCCAGUUAAUUUGAAAAUAAGAUACUAAAUGAAUAACAUGUUUGUCUGUGUGUUGAGGUGGAGCAGUGAUCCUGCAGAGUCCUGUCCUCCCUGUGAUGGAGGGAGAUGAUGUCACUCUCACCUGUACAACAAAGACCUCCAACCUCUCAGCUGCUUUCUAUAAAGAUGGCUCCUUCAUCAGGACUGAGCCUACAGGUCACAUGACCAUCCACCAUGUUUCCAGGUCUGAUGAAGGACUCUACAAGUGUAACACCAUCAGUGAUGGAGAGUCUCCACCCAGCUGGAUCACUGUCACAGGUAAACCAACAACCAUAGCCCCGCCCACAUCUGCAGACCCGCCCCCUGACUCCACCCCCCUCUUUCUUGUGCUCCUCCACCUGGUGGUGUUCUGUCUGUACUGCAUCUCCACUGUCAUCAUGGUGUCUUUAUAACGCCACAGGUCCACAGGAAAUGACCUAUCCGUCUCCAUGGCAACAGCACCUCCCAACCGACCUGAGGAGGGCGUGGCUGAGGAUGCUGAUGACAUCAUGAGUGUCAGCGCCGCGCAUCAUUUAUGAGCUGAACACAUCUGUGACCAGCGUCGGGGGUAACUAGUCACAAAGUAAUCCAUUACAGUGCAGUAGGAUUACUUUUAUAACCGAGUAACAUUAAGUGUUAGCUAAUCUUUUUUCUCACAGAAGUAAUCCAUUACUGGCAUA
rnacentral:lncRNA from 1 species